ACAAGAUUGAUCAGUCAGAGAACACAACAAGAUGAUCACCGUCUUCUGCAUAGCCCUUAAUGUCUUCAUGGUUUCAGGUUCCUCUCUCAGCGACCAAGUCCACCAGACUCCAGCUGAUAUGUACAACGAACCCGGAGAAAAUGCCAAAAUCAACUGCUCACACAGUAUUCAGAGCUAUGAUCGAAUCCUCUGGUACAGGCAAUUCAAGAAUAUGCAACUUCAGCUCCUGGGAUACAUGUAUGCAACUAGUGGAAACCCAGAGGCUGGACUGGGAGUGAAGAUAGAAGGGAGUGCAAAUAAAAAUCAGAUCUGCACACUAACAGUUGAAGGACUGGCCCUGAACAGCAGUGCGGUGUACUUUUGUGCUGCUAGGUUACACAGUGCUACAUAUCACUGCUCCUCAGUACAAAAACCUCCUCAUCACACAUUCUUUCUUCUCCGUAGAACAGCUCACAGCUCCUCACACCUGUGCUCCUCCCUCAGUUCCUCUCUCAGCGAGCAAGUCCACCAGACUCCAGCUGACAUGUACAACAAACCCGGAGAAAAUGCCAUAAUCAGCUGUUCGCACAGUAUUGACACCUACAAUCAAAUCCUCUGCUCACAGCCCCCUGCACCUGUGUUCAUCCUCUCAUAA